GACAAGGAGACACAGUCUGUUAUCCUCGAGGUUUUUGAUAAGGACAUUGGCCAAGAUAAGCAACUGGGGAUAGCAAAAUUACCUCUGAUUGAUCUUCAAGGAGAGGUAAAUAAGGAGUUUGAGUUGCGAUUGCUUGCAUCACUCAACACGCUGAAAGUGAAAGACAAGAAAGAUCGAGGAACCCUUACAAUCAAGAUUCACUACCAUGAGUUUAACAAGGAGGAGCAGUUGAAAGCUCUGGAAGAAGAGAAGAGGAUCCUUGAAGAGAGAAAGAAACUGAAGGAGGAGGGAGUUUUAG
rnacentral:misc_RNA from 1 species